UACAGAGGGGGCAAGCGUUGUUCGGAAUUACUGGGCGUAAAGGGCGCGUAGGCGGCCUGUUAAGUCGAACGUGAAAUCCCCGGGCUCAACCCGGGAACUGCGUCCGAUACUGGCAGGCUUGAAUCCGGGAGAGGGAUGCGGAAUUCCAGGUGUAGCGGUGAAAUGCGUAGAUAUCUGGAGGAACACCGGUGGCGAAGGCGGCGACCUGGGUAGAUACUGACGCUGAGGUGCGAAAGCGUGGGGAGCAAACAGG
rnacentral:rRNA from 1 species